ACUCACUUUGGGAGCGCUGGGCCUCAAACUGAACGACUACUGGAAGGAAGUGACGGAGAAGAUGGCCAGAGAGCGAGAGCUUCAGUCUUUGGACCGACUUAAGAACGCUGACGAGAGUCCCAUGUGGGUGCAGUGCGAGGAGUGCCUGAAGUGGCGGAGCGUCCCUGCACACCAUUACAGCGCCGUUCCUGAAAGCUGGAGCUGCAGCCAGAACCCCAAUCCACGCUACAGGAGCUGCUCUUCACCAGAGGAAGAGGAGGAGAGCGAGGAGCAGUUAGCGCCCAGCUACCAGAAAAACCACAGGAAGCAGUAAAUUCUCCAGCCUUUAGUCCCGUCGGCCUGCGUCCGUGCAUGCAUGCGUCGCUCCUCCUGCGCGUCUCUGUGUGUGAAUGCGGGUUCACGUACCGUUCUGUGGUUUGCCCCUGUCAGUUUCACAUUCUCGUUUCCGGUGGUUGUCCACGUGACUGACAGCGAGAUAAAAGCGCAAGAUGUAGCCUGCAAGUUUCAGUUUUAGAGGAUAAGGCUGAAAGGUCUUUACAGUGUUACAUUUAAACUUGGUUUCAGUUUCUAAAAGCAGCGGUGAAUCAAUUCACCACAGUGAAAAUGAAUUCCCUCGAGUCUUAUUUAUCUGCUCGUGACUCUGUGACUUUUUUUACAGAGAGCACCCCAGAAAUAGGAAGCGAGAGGCAGCGUUGGAGACGUGUGAGUCCCUGGAGUCGAGCGGGCAUCAGACCCUGUCCCGGAGUUGGUCAGAGCCCGGACGGCUCGCGCUCCGGCCCACGCGCUCACCUGACCACUCGGCAGCAGGGGAUGAGGGGCGGGCGGGGGGGGGGGGAGCCUGAGCAGAACCAGGCGGACGCACAGGUCCAGACCGAGCUCAAAGCCGAGGGCCGCCUGCAGCGGGAGGAGGAGGAGGGUCCAGCUUCACAGGGUGAAGAGGCCGAGAACGCGGAGCCGCUGGAGAGGCAGGAGGAGAGCGCGUUAAGCCACAAGAGGAAGUUGGGGUCGUUAUUCGACUGCCUGAUGAAGAAGCCGCGUCUCCGUGAAGAGCGACGCGCUGAUUCUGAGAGCGCGGCCGGAGAGACGGCGCCGGGCCUGGACCGGAACCUCCCCCGGGCCCACUGCCCGUCCUCCACCCAGACCGUGGUGGUCCCCCCGCUGAGCCGGGCGCCGGGCGCCGGGCCGCUGCCUCCAGAGGGCGGCGAGCGGCGGGCCACGGUGCAGAAGCUCGCUGCUUUGGAGAAGGAGGUCCAGAGGCUGAGGACGCUGCUGGGUCUGGACAGCGCUCAGGGGACGACGGAGGCCGCUGGCGGCUGCAGUGAGAAACCGGAGCCAUCGGAGGCCUCGGGGAGGAGAGAGGUCGGCUGCCAGGCAGAUGUAGCUGAGGGCUCUGCCUCGUCCAGCAUCACGACCCAGUCUCUGCUGGUCCAGGAUCAGAGACCUGUGUGUGCCCCCGAGGAGCAGCCUGAGCAGAACCGAGCCAGGAAGGAGAAGGCCGAGGUUCCAAGCCGGACGAGGGUCAGUGACGGCGAAGCCUGCGAGGACGGCAGGUCCGCGCAGGAGGACCUCCGCGGCAUCCGCAGCAACGUGGUGGUCCUGCUCACGGCUCUGCUGCCGCAGCUGGACCUGGCCGGCAUCAGCAUGGAGACCCCCGACGUGGACAACAUCCUGCAGCAGAUCAUAGAGGUCAACUCGCUGAAGUUAUGA
ensembl:lncRNA